rnacentral:rRNA from 2 species
AGCGGCGGACGCGUGAGUAACACGUGGGUAACCUGCCCAUAAGACUGGGAUAACUCCGGGAAACCGGGGCUAAUACCGGAUAACAUUUUGAACUGCAUGGUUCGAAAUUGAAAGGCGGCUUCGGCUGUCACUUAUGGAUGGACCCGCGUCGCAUUAGCUAGUUGGUGAGGUAACGGCUCACCAAGGCAACGAUGCGUAGCCGACCUGAGAGGGUGAUCGGCCACACUGGGACUGAGACACGGCCCAGACUCCUACGGGAGGCAGCAGUAGGGAAUCUUCCGCAAUGGACGAAAGUCUGACGGAGCAACGCCGCGUGAGUGAUGAAGGCUUUCGGGUCGUAAAACUCUGUUGUUAGGGAAGAACAAGUGCUAGUUGAAUAAGCUGGCACCUUGACGGUACCUAACCAGAAAGCCACGGCUAACUACGUGCCAGCAGCCGCGGUAAUACGUAGGUGGCAAGCGUUAUCCGGAAUUAUUGGGCGUAAAGCGCGCGCAGGUGGUUUCUUAAGUCUGAUGUGAAAGCCCACGGCUCAACCGUGGAGGGUCAUUGGAAACUGGGAGACUUGAGUGCAGAA